GGUAUCAGCUGAUGUAAGUCGCUCUGGAUAAGAGCGUCUGCUAAAUGACUUAAA
rfam:Salmo salar isolate Sally breed double haploid chromosome ssa11, whole genome shotgun sequence.